rnacentral:lncRNA from 1 species
CGAGAGCGCAGGCGCGGUUGCAGAGCCGGACAUAUAUAGUCCCGAUGCGGGCCGCUGUUCGUCCUUUCGCCCGGCUCCAGCGCGAGAGUUAGUGGCUGUGUGGUACUCGGUGUGUGUCUCUCCGCCCGACCCCGGCCGGCCCUGGCCCGCUGCUUCUUCCAAGGCUACGGGAUGCGGAGCGUAGCACGGAGUACCUCGGCCUACCCUCCUCGGUGGCGGAGGCCCUGCCGGCCCAGGACUGCCUCAUGCGCAGUGAGAUUUCCGAGCCUGCGGGGCCGCGCCCUUAACCGGCUCGCCCUGUAG